ACUUGGGUUUUGAUCACUAAGCUGGUUGAAGAUUGAGAUUUCAAGUACCCUUUCGAGCAGUUUUUUGAUUUUCUACAGAGUUCAAGUUCCACUCCCGAAAUCAGAAGAUUGAAGAUUGAGAUUUGGGUGCAACUGGUUGGUCUCAAUCCACAGCUGCAAAGAGGUGGUGUUGGCUGAAUUUGUAACGGUGGGAUUCUUCUGAAAUUGGGUUUAAUUGAAGAUUUUGAGGAGUUCGAUUUGCUGAAGUAAGUGGACUGGUUUGAAGCUGAGAACCAGCGAGAAAGGAGGAGAUUCAAGAGUUGUUAUUGCUGGUAUGAAAAGGGAAACGAAGAGGGCAGUGAAUGUACAAUGGAUUCAGGGGUUUCUGAGAUUGGGACUAAUUCGAGGGAUUCUAGAUAGAAUGCAAAGGUAAGAUGGUGAAUUAAUCAAAUGGGUUUGUCUGCAUAUGUUAUUGUUUUGAUUGGUGAUGGAUUUCAUCUACCACCAAGAACAGAUUUGGGGGUUUUAUGUGGAUUGAAAUACGAUCAAUGUGCAAGUUGUUGAUGCUGGUUUGUGGUUAAUUCUCAGUUAGUUGUUGUUUGGAAUUGAGAUUAAUUGUUGGCUGUGUAAUGGAGCUAAGAGGCUGAGAAGGGUUUUUACCCAGGCAAUUUUGGUUGUGAUUGAUUGAUGGCUGUAGCAGUGGAGUGGUUACCUUAGUCUCGGUUGAAGGUUAGUCAGUAGCAAGUUCAGUGAUUCAAACUUGUAAUGGAGGUUUGGGUAUCAAACGCGAUAGAGUUGAGGUUAUUGAUGUGGCUGGUAGUCGUGAAUGAUGUGCGGUGUCUCGGUUGGUGGGUUGCUGCUCGGAGUUUUGGUAUACAAGAUGCCUGCGAAGUGGAGAAAGAGCUGUAGUCGAGACUGGAAAAUGCUGAUAGUAGGCAGUCGGAGAAAGCUGCUGUCGUCAAACCGAGAUGGAGAGAGUAUCUGCAUGAGAUGCAACUGAUGGGUGUGGUAGUUCCAACAACAGAUUUAGGUGACGUUGGCUAGUCGAGAAACAACAGCAAUGGAUUCAAGGUUCUGAUUGUUCUUAAUGGCUGAAAUAACAGGCAAAGGUGGUUAUCGAUGGAUGGAAGUUUGUGGCUCGAUGGUGUACUCGAUAUUGAUUGUAUAUGGGGUUUUAUCUUGCAGUCCAGAUUGGGUUUAAUCGUAUAUUCAGUGGGGGUCUGUUAGCUUGAGAUUUGGGGUGCUUGUGAUGCUUUUGGUCCGAUAAUAAUCUGGUGUUUUGUGGUUAAAUGAUUUGAGUCAAUGGGUUCUGUUUAAUAAUGUUUGAGUCGAAGCAGUAGAUUGCAGUGGUGAACGAAUGGGUGUUGGUCGAGAUGGCGCUACUGAUAUUUUUACUGGCAAGGAACGUGUUGCCAAUGGAGCUCAGUUGGCUGAGAUGGACAUGUAGUUGGCUGAGAUGGCAGCGAGGCAAGGAGCUGGUCGACUGGUGGAUGUAUGGAACCUUAAGAAUCGGCAGCAGCAAGGAUAGGUGAUGAUUUUAUGGGUUUCGAGAUGGAUAUGUUGGCUGGUAAGUUUAGUACGAAGAGAGGGCUCGGACAAGAGAUGUAAUUUUAUCAUGGGAGAAAAGGGUAUAAAUGGCUCAGGGAUAAAAGUGUAUCUUGGAUUUCCAGUAAAACACCCUCUGGUUGGAAAUGAGAGACUCUCAGGCUUGAAUCAAAAUGUAACCACGGAAAGUUGAAGAAUCUGGUGAGCCCUUAUCCUGUGAAAUGAGACAAGUAGCUGUAGUGGAGGAGGAUGUGGUGAGCCCUUAUCAGAUUGGGGGACAUGAUAAAUAUGAGGAGCCAGAGAUAGUGAUUUAAAACAAACAGGGAGUGAAGAUGUUGUGAUUAGUUUGCACAAGUAGAAAACCUAUUGCACAGGUUUUGUGAAUUUUCACAAGAGUUUCUGAAUUGGAAAUCGAUUUGAAGAACCAUUCCAUGAUCAGACUAAUUCCUAAACCUGAAGAAAAUAUACAACUUCUUGGUGGUUCUCACUACUAGCUGAUCAAGAAGAAGAAGGUUUGGUGGUUCUCACUACUAGCUUCCGGCAUUCAUCAUUUUGGAGAUGGCUGCUGAUUCACCAACCUUAUUUUCCUUCUCCCCAAUAGUACUCUAGAUCAUGCAGGACAUCAUGGGUUAUCGGCACCUGCGAUAGCUGGGAUAGUGGUAGCAGUUGUACUUGUAAUUUGUGUUGUUGUUGCUGUGUUCUGCUACUUCCAGAGAAGGAAGAAGAAGCGGUUGGAGAUGCUAGUACGUACAGGCAAAGGAAUGCAAACUUUGGAAGCUUCGUGCCAGCUGGCUAAUCGGAUGCAGCCUACAGAAGCUGGUAAUGCUGUGCGCCAGCCCACUAUUCAGCUGCACAACACGAAGCUGGUAAUUGCUCU